GAAGUUACAGUUAGCUGGUGCGUUGCCUUUGUGAUUCAUCUGCUCUGGUCUACUUUUAUUUUAUUUUAUUUUAUUUUUUUGUGUGGGGUCAGUGUUGUAAAUCAAAGAUUUGAGAAAUAAGCCUGUGCUUAAAAUGACCCAAAUUAAAAUUCAGUUGCCACCUUUCUUGUCUUACUAGGCAUCGCUUCCAUUUCUGUGAGGAGUCGGCGCGUGCUAAAAGGCUGGCGUACAGCUCCAGAGCCAGCCAUUAGCUCAUGGUCUGCCUCUGCCAAUGCUUAAGCCUUGCUGCUGUUUUGAGUGUUGCAAAACCCAAGGGAAGGCAGAGGCGGCCGGGAAGCUCUGCCCUGUGCCGCUGGGCCCGCAGGGAAGGGCUCGGGCUCGGGCUGAGCCGCCGCGGCCGGCCUGCCCCAAGCGCCCUGGCGGCACGCCGGGCACCUGGUACCCGCUCACGGGAUGGCUCUGGAGCUGCGAGUCGUUAUUCCGGGGAAACUAUAGGGUGCCUCAAGCCAAACCAGCCAGCCCAGGACAGCAUCUGAGGAGAAAACUGCUUGAAACUGCUCUUGUUUUGUGUCUCGCCAGCUCCGGUGGUUGUCGCRGUUCCUGUUGAGGAGAUUGUUGAUGUCCACCUUGGCAUCAUUAAAGACAAAAUCGUUUAACAGCCUUGGGCUGCUGUGUUCCCUCUCUCUGUUAGUAAUGGGGAGACUACGUUUCUUUCUCUCUCUCUUUUUUUUUUUUUUUUAAACACAGAAGAACUUUUCUUAUACUUGUGUUUUUCCUAACACCGUUGACUAUCGCUUUCUGUAGGCCUCUGUGGUGUUUGCAUGGUGUGUUUGUGGUGUGACCCAGCGGGGCAGGGGUGGCCGCAGCGCUGGCACCAUUAGACACGUCCAGCCACCGCGGGACUCCGGGUCAGCGCAGGCUGCYUUCAUAUACACCAAAAAAGCUGAUGGUGGAAAACGGUCACUUGAUACCGUAUGGACAGAAUAAAUACAGCUAUUUCUAAGCA
rnacentral:lncRNA from 1 species